GACGAACCGUACGAACGUUAUUCGGAAUUACUGGGCUUAAAGGGUGCGUAGGCGGCGCAGUAAGUUGGGUGUGAAAUCUCGGAGCUUAACUCCGAAACUGCAUUCGAUACUGCCGUGCUUGAGGACUGGAGAGGAGACUGGAAUUUACGGUGUAGCGGUGAAAUGCGUAGAUAUCGUAAGGAAGACCAGUGGCGAAGGCGGGUCUCUGGACAGUAACUGACGCUGAGGAGCGAAAGCGUGGGGAGCGAACAGG
rnacentral:rRNA from 1 species